ACUCCUACGGGAGGCAGCAGUGGGGAAUAUUGCACAAUGGGCGGAAGCCUGAUGCAGCGACGCCGCGUGGGGGAUGAAGGCCUUCGGGUUGUAAACCCCUUUCAGCAGGGACGAAGCGCAAGUGACGGUACCUGCAGAAGAAGCACCGGCCAACUACGUGCCAGCAGCCGCGGUAAUACGUAGGGUGCAAGCGUUGUCCGGAAUUAUUGGGCGUAAAGAGCUCGUAGGCGGUCUGUCGCGUCAGCUGUGAAAACCUGGGGCUCAACCCCGGGCCUGCAGCCGAUACGGGCAGACUAGAAUUCGGUAGGGGAGACUGGAAUUCCUGGUGUAGCGGUGAAAUGCGCAGAUAUCAGGAGGAACACCGGUGGCGAAGGCGGGUCUCUGGGCCGAUAUUGACGCUGAGGAGCGAAAGCGUGGGGA
rnacentral:rRNA from 1 species